UGAGGAAUAUUGGUCAAUGGGCGCUAGCCUGAACCAGCCAAGUAGCGUGAAGGAUGACUGCCCUAUGGGUUGUAAACUUCUUUUAUAUGGGAAUAAAGUGCAGUAUGUAUACUGCUUUGCAUGUACCUUAUGAAUAAGGAUCCGGCUAACUCCGUGCC
rnacentral:rRNA from 1 species